GACGAACGCUGGCGGCGUGCUUAACACAUGCAAGUCGAACGGAAAGGCCCUGCUUUUGUGGGGUGCUCGAGUGGCGAACGGGUGAGUAACACGUGAGUAACCUGCCCUUGACUUUGGGAUAACUUCAGGAAACUGGGGCUAAUACCGGAUAGGAGCUCCUGCUGCAUGGUGGGGGUUGGAAAGUUUCGGCGGUUGGGGAUGGACUCGCGGCUUAUCAGCUUGUUGGUGGGGCAGUGGCUUACCAAGGCUUUGACGGGUAGCCGGCCUGAGAGGGUGACCGGCCACAUUGGGACUGAGAUACGGCCCAGACUGCUACGGGAGGCAGCAGUGGGGAAUAUUGCACAAUGGGCGGAAGCCUGAUGCAGCAACGCCGCGUGCGGGAUGACGGCCUUCGGGUUGUAAACCGCUUUCGCCUGUGACGAAGCGUGAGUGACGGUAAUGGGUAAAGAAGCACCGGCUAACUACGUG
rnacentral:rRNA from 1 species